rnacentral:lncRNA from 1 species
UCCACCUGAGAAGGUCGACCAAGUUCAGCCAAACAGGCCACCAAAGCCACCCACUGCGAGCAAACCUAGACUUGCAGCAUCAAAUGUGAAACCUACUCCAACAACUGAUGAUUUACCUUGCACAUCAGCAUAGAAAUUCCAGUAUAUUUUCUCAGCCAAUGUCUCAUACCAGUUACAGGAAGCUUGUAAUAUGGGUGCCAUCUUCCAGCAACCUGCAACAUGCCUGCAUCCCCAAGUGGCUUGUUUUAUUGUUCAGUUGGGGCUUUCACAACUUGUCUAACUGAAGCUUACAUCAGUGGCCGAUUAUGGAAUGCCAGAAUGUAAGUGGACAAAGGAGUAUGCUGACGGCCAUUGUGAACCAUCUAUUGAACUAUGUUUCUUGCAUUAUACCAAUGCAGUUAAAUUUUUCCAACUGGUACUUAUACAUUCCUAGUAUUAUGGUAUUAUACAGCUCACAAGUCUAGUAGGUUGCACGGCACUUUUAUAAUUUUUGUCAACAAAUACUGGCAUGUGUAACGAGUUUAGGAGCAACCAUUUUGGCUCCCGUGUGAGGAGAUUUCCUGCAUUAUUAUGUUCAUUCAUAAGCAGAUGAGGAACCUAUGCAUAUUCUGAGCCAAGUUUGCUGAUUUGUUACUUCUUUUAAAAAGCAUGAUGAUAGAAAGAAAUAGCUUUGGCAGAUAUUUUGAGUUGUCAUCAUGCUCAUAACCAGCAGCCAUCUGAAUUUUUUUGCUGUCCGACUGCAUUCGUAGACCAUAAAAAGCCUCAUUUCAUCCCUGCCUUGCUGGUUCUAAUUUCCGAUGCAUGUUGCUUUCCACUUAUCUCAACUCGCGAGGCACAGCAGAGGAUGGAUCAGAGCCACAGUGCAUACCAUUAGCACGGGUCGGGUCCCACGUCUCAACAGCGAGAUGCAUUGCCAAUCACGUAGGCAUCAUUGACCUCAGAUCCCAUUCUCGAGCUCUAGUAUUGCAUAUUAGUUUGGACACC